CAGUCGCCGCGGUAAUACGAAGGGGGCUAGCGUUGCUCGGAAUUACUGGGCGUAAAGGGCGCGUAGGCGGACAGUUCAGUCGGGGGUGAAAGCCCGGGGCUCAACCUCGGGAUUGCCUUCGAUACUGGCUGUCUUGAGUAUGAGAGAGGUGUGUGGAACUCCGAGUGUAGAGGUGAAAUUCGUAGAUAUUCGGAAGAACACCAGUGGCGAAGGCGACACACUGGCUCAUUACUGACGCUGAGGCGCGAAAGCGUGGGGAGCAAACAGGAUUAGAUACCCCCGUAGUCCCUGUCUCUUAUAC
rnacentral:rRNA from 1 species